rnacentral:rRNA from 1 species
GACGAACGCUGGCGGCGUGCCUAAUACAUGCAAGUCGAACGCAGUGGGGACGGGUGCGUAAAACGUGGGUAACCUCCCAUCAGAGGGGAUAACACUUGGCAACAGGCGCUAAACCGCUACUGGUGGAUGGACCCGCGGUGCCUUAGCUAGUGGGUGAGGUAACGGCUCACCAAGGCUACGAUGCAUAGCCGACCUGAGAGGGUGAUCGGCCACACUGGGACUGAGACACGGCCCAGACUCCUACGGGAGGCAGCAGUAGGGAAUCUUCGGCAAUGGACGAAAGUCUGACCGAGCAACGCCGCGGGAGUGAAGAAGGUUGUCGGAUCGUAAAACUCUGUUGUUAGAGAAGCGGUAUCUAACCAGAAAGCCACGGCUAACUACGUGCCAGCAGCCGCGGUAAUUC